rnacentral:rRNA from 1 species
GCGAUCAUACCGGCACUAAUGUACCGGAUCCCAUCUGAACUCCGAAGUUAAGCGUGCUUGGGCGAGAGCAGUACUAAGAUGGGUUACCUCCUGGGAAGUCCUCGUGUUGCACCU